rnacentral:lncRNA from 1 species
UGGGCCGGUGGAAUGACGGUCGAAGGUGAGGUGGCUUCAACCUUCGGUCCCACUCCGACCCGAGCGAGUACACCGUUGCUCCCGAACUAUCCCCGAUGCAGGAAGUCGACUCCAACGAAUAGUCGGAGUGUCUGCUUCGUUAUUUUUGUAUUCUUUAUUUUUGUUUCGUCUUUGAUAUUUGUAAUCGAGCUUCAGCCCAAUUUUGUAAGUCACUUCAACUAAAUGAAAUC